AGUGAACGCUGGCGGUAGGCCUAACACAUGCAAGUCGAACGGCAGCACAGUAAGAGCUUGCUCUUACGGGUGGCGAGUGGCGGACGGGUGAGGAAUACAUCGGAAUCUACUUUUUCGUGGGGGAUAACGUAGGGAAACUUACGCUAAUACCGCAUACGACCUACGGGUGAAAGCAGGGGAUCUUCGGACCUUGCGCGAUUGAAUGAGCCGAUGUCGGAUUAGCUAGUUGGCGGGGUAAAGGCCCACCAAGGCGACGAUCCGUAGCUGGUCUGAGAGGAUGAUCAGCCACACUUGAACUGAGACACGGUCCAGACUCCUACGGGAGGCAGCAGUGGGGAAUAUUGGACAAUGGGCGCAAGCCUGAUCCGGCCAUACCGCGUGGGUGAAGAAGGCCUUCGGGUUGUAAAGCCCUUUUGUUGGGAAAGAAAAGCAGCAGGUUAAUACCCCGCUGUUCUGACGGUACCCAAAGAAUAAGCACCGGCUAACUUCGUG
rnacentral:rRNA from 1 species